UACGUAGGGUGCGAGCGUUGUCCGGAAUUAUUGGGCGUAAAGGGCUCGUAGGCGGUUUGUCACGUCGGGAGUGAAAACACCGGGCUUAACUCGGUGCUUGCUUUCGAUACGGGCUGACUAGAGGUAUGCAGGGGAGAACGGAAUUCCUGGUGUAGCGGUGAAAUGCGCAGAUAUCAGGAGGAACACCGGUGGCGAAGGCGGUUCUCUGGGCAUUACCUGACGCUGAGGAGCGAAAGCAUGGGGAGCGAACAGG
rnacentral:rRNA from 1 species